GGGCCCACCUCUUCGUCCUCUGAACCAAUCAGGACCGGUCUGCCAGUGUCAUGGCUGCCCACACCUCUGCAGGCACUUUGUACGCCACUAACGCGGCGUGGUAGCUCGGUGCGUCUCGCCGUACCAAUGCUAACCAUCGGGCUAUCGAGGUCUGAGAUCCUAGUCUCCUGUCGGCUCUGAGGAGGAUGGAUCCUUCUAUGGAUACAUGGGACCUCUCCUCACCUUUAAUAUCAUUAUGGAUAAACAGGUUUUACAUUUAUUUGGGCUUUGCUGUUAGCAUUAGCCUUUGGAUUUGUGUCCAGAUUGUCAUCAAGACACAGGGCAGGAACUUACAGGAAAAAUCUGUUCCAAAAGCAGCUCAGGAUUUGAUGACAAAUGGUUAUGUCUCCCUUCAAGAGAAAGACAUCUUUGUCUCUGGAGUGAAGAUUUUUUAUGGUUCUCAGACUGGAACAGCAAAGGGAUUUGCAACAGUUCUUGCUGAAGCAGUUACAUCCCUGGAUCUGCCUGUGGCAAUUAUUAAUCUAAAAGAAUAUGAUCCAGAUGAUCAUCUGAUAGAAGAGGUGACUAGUAAAAAUGUCUGUGUCUUCCUGGUUGCAACAUACACUGACGGCCUACCAACCGAAAGUGCAGAGUGGUUCUGCAAAUGGUUAGAGGAAGCAGCCAUUGAUUUUCGAUUUGGCAAAACUUACCUGAAGGGUAUGAGAUAUGCGGUAUUUGGCCUGGGAAAUUCUGCCUAUGCUAGCCACUUCAACAAGGUUGGCAAAAAUGUUGACAAGUGGCUCUGGAUGCUUGGUGCACAUCGUGUGAUGAGUCGAGGGGAGGGCGACUGCGACGUGGUUAAAAGCAAGCACGGCAGCAUUGAGGCCGACUUCAGAGCAUGGAAAACCAAGUUCAUCUCCCAGCUGCAGGCACUUCAGAAAGGAGAGAGAAAGAAGUCCUGUGGCGGCCACUGCAAGAAAGGCAAAUGUGAAUCUCACCAACGUGGCUCAGAGGAGAGGGAGGAAGGAGCUCACGAGCAGGAUGAAUUGCAUCACAGAGACACCGAGGAGGAAGAACCCUUUGAGAGCUCCAGUGAAGAAGAGUUUGGUGGUAAGGACCAUCAGAGCCUGAAUUCCAUUGUUGAUGUUGAAGAUUUGGGCAAAAUUAUGGAUCAUGUGAAGAAAGAAAAGAGAGAAAAGGAACAGCAGGAAGAGAAGUCUGGUUUGUUCAGGAACAUGGGGAGGAAUGAAGAUGGUGAAAGAAGAGCUAUGAUAACUCCUGCUCUCCGAGAAGCCCUUACUAAACAAGGUUAUCAGUUGAUUGGGAGCCACUCGGGGGUGAAGCUUUGCAGGUGGACAAAGUCGAUGCUGCGAGGGAGAGGAGGUUGUUACAAACACACAUUCUAUGGAAUUGAGAGCCAUCGCUGCAUGGAAACCACCCCGAGCUUGGCGUGUGCUAAUAAAUGUGUCUUCUGUUGGCGGCACCACACCAACCCCGUGGGCACUGAAUGGCGGUGGAAGAUGGACCAGCCUGAAAUGAUCUUGAAGGAAGCCAUCGAAAACCAUCAGAACAUGAUUAAGCAGUUUAAAGGAGUACCGGGCGUCAAAGCAGAACGCUUUGAAGAAGGAAUGACAGUAAAGCACUGUGCAUUGUCCCUCGUGGGAGAACCAAUAAUGUACCCAGAGAUCAACAGGUUUUUGAAGCUACUCCACCAGUGUAAAAUCUCCAGCUUCCUGGUCACAAAUGCACAAUUUCCUGCGGAAAUCAGGAACCUCGAGCCAGUUACUCAGCUGUAUGUCAGUGUGGAUGCCAGUACCAAAGACAGCCUGAAGAAAAUCGACCGCCCACUCUUCAAGGAUUUCUGGCGGAGAUUCCUUGACACUUUAAAAGCCUUGGCAGUCAAGGUGGAGUCUGGCUCUGCUGCCCAGGCUGGAGUGCAGUGUUGUGAUCUUGGCUCACUGCCACCUCCGCCUCCCAGGUUCAAGCGGUUCUCCUGCCUCAGCCUCCUGAGUAGCUGGGACUACAGGCGUGCAACACCAUGCCUGGCUAAUUUUUGAAUUUUUAGUAAAGACGAGGUUUCACAGUGUUGGUCAGGCUGGUCUCGAACUCCUGACCUUAGGUGAUCUGCCCACCUCGGCCUCCCAAACUGCUGGGAUUACAGGCGUGAGCACUGUGGCUGGCCUGUUUCUUAUUCUUUCCAUUACUUUGUAACUCUUGUUAAAUUUUUCUACAAGUAAUUUUUGGAAUACUUGCCAUCCUUAUUUUAUGGCAUUUCUUCUAUUAAUUUCUGUUCUUUUAUUUCCUUUUUUCUUAUAUUUAUAUUAUUGUUUACUUUUUAACAUCUUGUACAUAGUAAAUUAUAGAUGUUCAUCCUUUCCAUUUUAAAAUUAAGAAAUAAUUUGCUUUGCAUAAAAAUGACUUUUUAAAGUAUAUAAUUUAGUGGCUUUUAGUUUAUUUACAAAACAGUGUGACCAUGUGGAUUAUUUAAUUUCAGAACUUCCAAUAGUGUCUGUCUUCUUACAGUUAGUAUAAUGUUUUCCAAGUUAGCGCAUGUUAUAGCAUGAAUCAGAACUUCAUCUUUUUUUUUGAGACGGAGUCUCGCUCUGUUCCCCAGGCUAGAGUGCAGUGGCAUGAUCUUGGCUCACUGCAACUUCUGUCUCCUGGGUUCAACUGGUUCUCCUGCCUCAGCCUCCUGAGUAGCUGGGACUACGGGCACCCUCCACCACACUGAGCUAAUUUCUGUAUUUUUAGUAGAGAUGGAGUUUCACCAUAUUGGCCAGGCUGGUCUCAAACUCCCGACCUUGUGAUCCACCCGCCUUGGCCUCCCAAAGUGCUGGGAUUACAGGCGUGAGCCACUGCGCCCAGCCUAGAACUUCAUCUUUUUUGCUGAAUACUGUUCUCUUGGAUGGAUAUGUACUAUAUUUUCUUUGUCCGUUCUUCAGCUGAUGGACGUUGGCAUUGUUUCCAGCUUUUGGCUGUUAUGAGUAAUACUGCUGGGAAUAUUCAUGCACAGGUUUUAGUGUGAAUAUAUGUUUCAGUUCACACUUGUGAGUAAAGUUGCUGGGUCAUAUAGUAAUUCUAUAUUUAACUUUUUCAGGAGCUGCCAACUUGAAGCACAAAAAGUUUUAACUUUGAAAAAGUCCAUUGUAUCUUUUUUUCCUCCUUCUGUUGCUUAUGUUUUUGGUGUCACAUCUAAUUGCCUAAUGCAAGGUGACAGAGAUUUACCAUAUGUUUUCUUCCAAGAGUUUUAUUGUUUUAGCUCUUUGAGCAGUUUUGAGUUAAUUUUUGUGGACAAUGUGAGAUGGUCAUUUGCCUGUGAAUAACUAGUUGUCUCAGUACCAUGUGUUGAAAAGACUAUUUUUUUCCCCAUUGAAUUGUCUUUGUACCCUUGUCAAAAUCAAUUGGCCGUUAAGUGUAUGGGUUUUAUUUGUGGACUGUCCAGUUCUGUUCCAUUGAUGUUCACUUUUAUCCUUACGGUGGUACCACAUAAUCUUGAUUAACAUAGCUUUGAGUACGUUUUGAAAUCACAGUGUUUGAAUCUUCUAACUUUGUUCUUUUUCAAAUUAUUUUGGGUCUUUGGGUUCCUAUGCAUUUCCAUAUGCAUUUUGGGAUCAGCUUUUAAAGCCUGCAAAACAGGCAGCUGGAACUUUAACAGGGAUUUAAAAUUUUUUAUUGAGGUAGCAUUCAAGUAACAUAAAAUGAACUGUUUUAACAUGAACAACUAAGUGGCAUUUCAUACAUUUACAGUCUUGUGUAAUCAUCACCUUUAUCUAGUUCCUAAACAUUUUUAUUACUCCAACAUAAAAUCCUGUACCUAUUAAGCAGUUACUCCCCAUACCUCAUAACCAGUCCCUUAUAACCACCAAUCUGUUUUCUGUUACUAUGGAUAUAGCUGUUCUGGAAAUUUCAUAUAAAUGGAUUUGUGUAGUAUGUGACUUGCUUUCAUUCCUGGGAUAAAUCCCACUUGGUAAUAAUGUAAAAUAUUUUAAUAUGAUGUUGUAUUUGGUUUGGUAGUAUUCUGCUGAGAAUUUCUACAUCAUGAAGGAUUGGAUUAUAGUUUUCUUUUCUGGUGAUGUCUUUUUCUGGUUUGUUAUGAAGAUAAUGCUGGCCUCGGAGAAGGAGGUGUGAAGUGUUUCCUCUUCUAUUUUUUUUGAAAGAGUUUGAGAAUAUUCUUCUUGAAAUGUUUGGCAAUGAAGCCAUCUGCUCUUAAGCUUUUAUUUGUUGGGAGUUUUUUGAUUGUUCAAUCUCUUGACUUGUAGGUCUGUUCCGAUUGUCCAUUUCUCCUUGAGUCAUUUUUGGUAAUUUACGUAUUUCUAAGAAUUUGUCCAUUUAAUUUAGGUUAUCCACUUUUUUUGGUAUAUAGUUGUUCAUAGCAUUUUCUUAUAAUUCCUUUUAUUUGUGUGGGGUUAGUAGUAGUAUCUCCACUUUCAUUUCUGAUUUUAGUUAUCUGUGUCUUUUUCUUAGUCUAGCUAAAGGUCCAUUUAGUUGAUCUUUUCAUAGAACAUACCUUUGGUUUCUUUGUUCUCCCCAGUUUUUCUGUUCUCUAUUUCUUUUACCUCUGUUCUAGUCUUUGUUUCUCUUUCCUAACCCUGUUGGUUUAAUUUACUCUUGUUUUGCUAGGUCUUGGAGGAGAGUUAAGUUAAUCAUGUUGUUCAUGUGUUCUGUGCUUUUACUCCUUUGUCUUUAAUUGUUACUGAGAAAGUUCUUUUGUCUUAUAUUAUUGGUUACCCAGAGAGAUGUGUACAAAUGUUCUAUUGUGACUCUGGCUAUGUUCAUUUCUCAUUUUAGUUAUGUCAAUUGUUACUUCAUAUGGAUGCUAUAUUGUUAGGUACUAGUCUAUUCUUAUACUAGUUAAGAAUUGUUAUAUAUUUUUGGUGAAUUGGCCUUUUUAUAAUGCCCUUCUCACCUUCUCAUCUUAAAGUCUGUCUAAUACUAGUAAAGCAACACUAGUAUUUUUUUAUGGUCAGUGUUUGCAUAGUACAACUUUUUUCUUUUUGUUUUUAUUUUCAGCCUUUUUUGUAUCUUUAUAUUUAAGUUAUAUCUUCAUAAGACAUUACCAUUUUUCUGUCAUGCAGUCAGUAUUCAUGAUUUACCCACAAAUUUUCUCUCUAUUCUUUCGUAUGUCUCUGCUUCCAUCUGAAGGACUUUUUAAUAACAUGUAAUUGGGUUUGUUUUCUUAAACCUUUGGAAAAUCUUUAUCUUUUUGAGUGUUUAUCUGUUUGCAUGAAGUACAAUAAUAGACAUUUGAAUUUAAAUUUAGCAUGUAAUUAUUUGCAUUAUUUUCCUUUCCCCUUUUUAGCUAUCUUUUUCUCUAUUUUCUUUUGUUUUUAAUUAAGGAAUUUUAUUAUAAGUUUUUCAUUCUGUUGGUUUUUAAUAUUUAUUUUUCUAUUAUUGUUCUUUUAGUUGUUGCCCUAGUGAUUGAAGCGGGCAACCUUGACUUAUUAAAGUCAAUGUAAAUUAACGUUUACAUCAUUUUAUAAGCAAUAGUACUUAGAAUACUUAACUCCAUUAACUCCCUCCCAACUUCUAUGCUGUUUUUGUUGUACAUUUUACUUUUGCAUAUUUUUUGAACUCCACAUGACCUUACUAUUCUUUUUUUUUUUUGAGACGGAGUCUUGCUCUGUUGCCUAGGCUGGAGUGCAGCCGCCCAGUCUCAGCUCACUGCAGCCUCUGCCUCCUGAGUUCAAGUGAUUCUCCUGCCUGAGCCUCCUGAGUAGCUGGGAUUACAGGUGCGUGCCACCACGCCUGGCUAUUUUUUUUGUAUUUUUAGUAGAAACUGUGUUUCACCACGUUGGCCAGGCUGGUCUUGAACUCUUGACCUUGGGUGAUCCACUCACCUCAGCCUCCCAGAGUGCUGGAGUUAUAGGCAUGAGCCACUGUGCCCAGCUAAGACCUUACCAUUCUUGUUUCAUACCGUCAGUAUUCAUGAUUUCACCACAAAUUUUCUCUUUAAUCUUUACUAUGUCUCUUCUUCCAGCUGAAGGACUUUUUAAAAAACAAACAAGCUGGAUGUGAUGGCUCACACCUGUAAUCCCAGCACUUUGGGAGUUCAAGGUAGGAGGAUCACUUGAGUCCAGGAGUUCAAGACCAGCCUGGGCAACAUAAUGAGACCCUGUCUCUACAAAAAGUAAAAAAAAUUAACCGAGUGUGAUGAUGCACCAGUGCACUCCAGCCUGAGUGACAGAGUGAAACCCUGUCUCAAAAAACAAAAAAUUAAAAAAAAAUUAAAAACAAAAUAUAAACACAAUACCAUUAUCACUACUAAUACAAUUAACAAUGCAUUUUAAUGCAUUUCCUGAAAAUUCAAAUGUGUCUAAUUUUCUCUGAUAGUUUCCAAAAGAAUGUGUUUUUAUAACUUUUUUUCUCAGAGUAAUAUCCAAACAAGAUUCUCACACUGUACUUUGUUUAUACUUCUUGUAAUGUGAUUGCUCCAAUCCUGUUUCCCCUUCUUGUGUGCUACUUAUUUGUGGAAGAAGGUGGGUCGUUUGUCAUUAGAAUUUGCAACAUCCCGAAUUUGGCUGAUUGAGUCCUUUUGGUAUCUUUUAAUAUAGUCUGUGUUUCUUUGUAAUUCCUGUAAAAUGGUAGUUACAACUAAAGGCUCGAUUAAUGAUAUAUUCAGUUUUUGGCAAGAAUACUUAAUAAUUGUUGCUGUACUGUUUCCUAAUGCAUCAAUCAAGUGGUACACAACAUCUAGUUGUUAAGAUUGAUUAGUGGAUUUUCUACAUAGAUAAUCAUGCUAUCUCUAAACAAAGACAGUUUUAUUUCUUUCUUCCAAAUCUGUUUUCCUUGUAUUCCCCUGCCUUGUCUUACUGCAUUGAUUAGGACUUCCAGUACCAUGUUGAAAAGCAGUGGUGAGAGAAGACAUCCUUGCUUUGUUCCUGAUAUUAGUGGGAAAGCUUCCAGGUUCUUGCCAUUAAGUAUGAUGUUAGCUGUAGGUUUUUUGUAGAUAUCCUUAUUAAGUUGAGAAAAUUUUCCUAGUUUGCUGAGAGUUUUUAUUAUGAGUGGGUGGUGAAUGGUGUCAUAUGCUUUUUGGCAUCUAUUGAUAUAAUCACGUGAUUUUCCUUCUUUAUCUUGUUGAUGUGAUGGAUUACAUUAACUGAUUUUCAAAUGUUCAAUCAGCCUUACCUACAGAUGGGUUGCAGACAAACAACUCAUUUUGUCUGCUUACAUACAAAUGGCAAAUGGUUUUUCUGGGAGUAUUUUAGUGGAGAACUGUGAGAGGCUCUAUUGCAUACUGCUGGUCUUUUGUUUGAUAACCAAGAUGUCUUUAGUUAGACUCUUUGGGACAUUUGUCACAUUAGGACCCCCUUCCCCUAUGCUCUUGGGAUAUUCUGAACUUAUCAUUAUGCUGCUUAUCAGAUUAACAUUUCUGCAUGUCUUUUUCUCCCCCAUUACAAAAGUUUUACUCAUUUACUGUAGAAAUUUGGGGCAAUACAGGAAAACAUAAACCCAAAGGGGAUAAAUAAAAACAUUUUAUGAAAUUUUUAAAAGCAGGCAGAGAUAAAGAGAGAUUACUUUCAAAAGAGCAACAAUAGGCCAGUGCUUGAUUGCAGAACAGAAAUGAGAGCACAAACCAUGGAGCCUCAAAGGGCUGAAAUUUGCCAAGAGCUGCCAAUCUAGAAGUCCAUUCCCAGUGAAAAUAUUUUUCAAGAGUGAAGGAGAAAAAAAAAGUUUUGAAGAAGACAAAAUGCCUACUUAGUAAAGGAAAUAGGUUAAAAAUCAAUAAGCUAAAUGCAUAUAUUAAGAAGUUAAUUGGUACCAACAAUGUUUUUUUUUUUAAAAAAGAAAAGAGCAGUAAAUUAAACAUAGAGUAAGUACUUGGAAGGAAAUAAAAAGAGCAGAAAUUAAGGAAAUAAAAAACAUCCAUAAAAUAGGAUUACAAAAAAGCAAAAGUUGGUUAUUCAAAAAAUCUUACAAAACUGAUGAUUACCUGGCAAGUUUAAUCAAUAAAAUGAGAGAUGAUACAAAUAAGUAAUGUUAGAAAUGAAAAUGAAACAUCACUAUAGAUCCUAUAGACAUUAAAAAGAUAGGAGGAUAUUUUGAAUUACUUUAUGCCAAUUAAUUUGGGAAUUUAGAUGAAAUAUACAAAUUCCUAGAAAAUGAAGCUUAAGAAAAUUAAUACUAGAAGAAAUGAUCUACAUGGACUUAUAAUUGUUAAAUAAAUUGCUUUUUAAAAUUUGAAACCUCAAACAAAGGAAACUCCAGGCCCAGAUGAUUUCAUCGUUGAAUUAUACCAGUUCCUGAUGAUACCAGUCAUCAGGAGAACUAACACCAACCCUACACAACUAUUCCAGAGAGGAAUAGUAGCACUUUCCAUCUCAUUUUAUUAGUUCAGAAUAAUUUUUUUUUUUUUUUUGAGAUGGAGUUUCGCUCUUGUUGCCCAGGCUGGGGUGCGAUGGCGUGAUCUCAGCUCACCGCAACCUCUGCCUCCUGGGCUCAAGUGAUUCUCGUGCCUCAGCCUCCCAAGUAGCUGGGUCUACAGGCAUGCGCCAUUACGCCCAGCUAAUUUUGUAUUUUUAGUAGAGAUGGGGUUUCUCCAUGUUGGUGAGGCUGGUCUCGAACUCCCAACCUCAGGUGAUCCACCUGCCUCAGCCUCCCAAAGUGCUGGGAUUACAGGCAUAAGCCACUGCGUCCAGCCAGUUCAGAAUAAUCUUUAUACCAAAUUCUAAGAAGAAUAAGACAAAAGCGAUUUUUACUCAUAAGCAUAGAAGCAACAAUUUUAAAGAAAAGAUCAACAAACUAAAUACAGCAGUCUAUAAAACCAUGAAAAACUGGCUUUAUUCUAAGAAUGCAAGUUUUGUUUAAUGUGUAAAAAUCAACCUAUUUAUGAUGUCAUAAUAAGAAAGAUGGUAGGAUAAGCUUAAUAGAUGCAUAAAAAGAAUUUGACAGAAAUCAAUAUUUAUUUAUGAUUAAAAUCUUAUAGCCAAUUAGAAUUAGAAGGAAACUUCCUAAUCCGAUAAAGAUAUUUACCCAUAAAACUCAUACUUCUUGAGUAAAUGUUUAAAAUCUUACUGUGCAGAAUAAGACAAGCAUACCCACUAUAUUUAUCACCACUUCCAUUUAACAUGGAAUCAAAGUCCUGGCUAGUGCUAAAUGACAAGAAAAAGGGAAAAAAGUUAUGAUUGGAAAGGAAGAUGUCAUUUUUAGUAAAUAAAUGUGUACAUAAACAAUCCUUUCCAAAAUUUGUAAUUAUUCGCUUUAAUAAAUGUAUUUUACAAGACUGCUAUAUGGAUACACAGUCAGCUUACAAAAAUCAGUUAUAUUUCUGUAUACCAGCUAUUAAAAUAUCAGUUAAAUAUUAGUUAAAAGAGGAAAAAUAGAAAAGAUACUACCAUAACAAAGCAUCAAAAGUAUAUUACCUUGGAAUAAAUCUAUGGAAAGAAGUUUUUGACCUUUGUGUUGAAAACUAUAAAAUAUUAUCGAGAGAAAUUUUGAAGGAUCUAAAUAAAGGUAAUUAUUUUGGCAGAUUCAGGGUGGUAAAAGUAUCAUUUCUCCAUACACUGAUUAUAUUUAAUUACGGUAGCCACUAGCUACAUGUGGCCAUUGAGUACUUGAAACGUGGCUACCCUGAAUUGAGCCAUGCUGUGCAUUGGAAUUCAAAGACUACACUUGAUCUUAGCCAAAAGGCUAGAAGCAAUGGAAUUCAAAGAUUUAGUCUGGUAAAAAGAAUGUCAGGUAUCCCAAUAUUUAAAUAUUGAUUGCUUCUUGAGUUGAUAAUUUUGGGGAUAUGUUAAGUUAAAAUACAUUUAAAAAAAUAAUUUCACCUGUGAACUUAUAUGUCUAUUGAACAACACUGGCUUAUAGAUUCAAUGCCAUAUCAGGCAGAAUCAUAAAGGGUUGUUUAUGUUUGUGGAAAUUAAUAAGCUGAUUCUAAAAUGUACAUGGAUAUGCAAAGGGCCAAGAAUAGCCAACAUACUCUUUCAGAAGGACGACAUAAGAGAACGUGCUCCACUGUAGGGCUUUUCAACGUUGGCACCAUCGACAUUUUAGACUGCAUAGUUCUUUUUAGGAAAAGGGUUGGGGAGACUGUCCCAUGCAUUGUAGGAUAUUCAGCAGCAGCCCUGGCCUUUACCCACUAGAUGUCAGUAGCAGCCCCCAUUUGUGAAAACCAAAAGAUUUUCUCAAGAUGUUGCUAAUUGUCCCAUGCGGUGCAGAAUCGCUCCUGGUUGAGAACCAUCUGUACUGGAUAUCAAGUCUUAGUAUAAAGCAACAGUAAUUAAAAGUGUGAUAUUGAGACAAAGAGAAAUGAUUAGAUCACUGGAACAGAAUAGAAAAAACCAGAAGCAGACCCUCACAUGCAUAGACAAUGAUUCUAUCAUAUUUACUACAGUGGACUAUCCACAUGUUAAAUAAGUUUAACCUCUCAACACCACACGCAAAAGUCAGUUUUGGUGGAUUUUUGUCACAAAUGUGAGUGGCAAUAUGAUAAAACUUCUAGAAAAAAAUGUAAGAGCUUAUCUUCAUGCUCUUGAUAGCAUGGAAUGAUCCUUUAAAGAGACACAAGAAACACUAAUAUGAAAGCAACGCUAGUAAGGAAAGAAAGUGGAAAUGUAUGAAAGUUAGGAAUUCUUAUUGAUCAGAAGACAUUGUGAAAAAAAGGAAGCCAUAAAGUGGAUGAAAUUAUUUCUAAUACAUUUAUAACAGAGCUUUUCUUUCCAGCAAAUGCAAAUAAUUUAUUGAAAAUCAGUUGGAAAAAAGACAAAUAUUCCAACAGAGAAAUAUUCAAGAAAUUUGAACCAGUACUUCACAAAAACAGAGAUACAGAUAGCCAGAAAACAUAUGAACUUAGCUUGCUUACAUUCAUAGUCAGAUGCAAAGCCAAAACAAUGCAAAAGUGGUGAAAACUAGCAACACUAAGUGUUGUUGAAGAUAACAACCAACCAAAACUCUGAUACAACGUGGGUGAAAGUGUGGCAAAAUGACUUUGGCAAUCAGAUUGCCAAUAUCUGCUAAGAUCGAAUGUAUACAUAUCCGCCAUGACCCAGCAUUUCCAUAUUUAGGUAGAUCCUAGAAAAUGUGUGUUCUUGUGCAUCAAGAAACAAGUACAGCUGGGCACGGUUGUUCAUGCCUGUAAUCCUAGCAUUUUGGGAGGCCAAGGCAAGAGGAUUGCUUGAGCCCAAGAGUUUGAGACCAGCCUGGGCAACAAAAUGAGCCUGUCUCUACAGAAAAAAAAAAAAAAAAAAGCUAGGAGGGGCAGCAUGUGCCUGUAGUCCCAGCUACUCAAGAGGCUGAGACGGGAGGAUCCCUUGAGACUGGGAGGUUGAGGCUGUAGUGAGCCGUGCUUAUGCCACUGCACUCCAGCCUGAGUGAUGGAGCGAGACCCUAUCUCAAGCCAGACAAAAAAAAAAACAAGGAGGUGGGGGAGAGGGAGAGAGAGAUGAGUACAGUAGCACUCAUGGCAGCAGUAUUUUCUAAGAAACCCAAAGUAGGGGGUUAAAAUCAUUCACUAGUAGUAUAUUCAUACAAUGUGGCCAUAAAGAUGUAUCUAUGGUUACACAUAAGUACCAUGCACUCUACUGGGCCACUGGAGCUCCAGUUACAUCAACAGCAUGAAUGAAUCUCGCAAACAUCGAAUUCAGUGAAAGAAGCCAGACAAAAGAAUACAUGUCACAGUAGCAUUUUAUAAAAUUUCCUUAAACAGGCAAAACUAAACUCUGGCGUUCAAAGAGAUAACCACAUUGUUUUAUAAUAGCUAAAACCUGGACAUGAUCCAAAUGUUUAGGGAAUGGUUGAAUGACUUGUUGUAUAUUAAUGCAACCCAAUACUAGAUAAUGAAAAUGAACAAACCUAAACAUGGAGCAACAUGGGCGAAUUUUAUAAACACAGUGUUGAGUGAUAGACGCUGGACACAAAAUAAUGUAUGAUUCCACUGACAUAAAUUCCAAACACAGGCAAAAACUAGACUAUCAUGUUAAAGUCAGGAUAUUAGAUAUUAGUCAGGUGAAGGGAGUGGAUGUUCACUGGGAGGAGCAGAAGGGUGUCUGGGUGAUGGGCAUUUUGUGAUAAUCCCUGGAGUUAUACAUUCGUGUUUUGUGUACAUUUCUCUUUGUGUGUUUCAUCUCACAGUUUUAGAAGAUUUAGCAAAGUGAGAGAGAGCCUAUACUGGUUCCUACUGUUGCAUGACAGCAACAACGAACUGUCUACAGACUGACGCUCGUGAAAGCAUGGAACGUGGACGAGCUCCAGGCCUACGCGCAGCUCGUGUCCCUGGGGAAUCCUGACUUCAUCGAAGUGAAGG